UUGGAUAUGAUGUAAUGGCUAACAUUGCUGCCUCUCAGCAUAUUUGUCUCGGGGUUCAAUUCCCCGUAUCCGAA
rnacentral:tRNA from 1 species